UAGAGUUUGAUCAUGGCUCAGGACGAACGCUGGCGGCGUGCUUAACACAUGCAAGUCGAACGGUGAAGCCCUUCGGGGUGGAUCAGUGGCGAACGGGUGAGUAACACGUGAGCAAUCUGCCCUUGGCUCUGGGAUAACUUCGGGAAACCGGAGCUAACACCGGAUAUGACAUACGGCCGCAUGGUCUGUGUGUGGAAAGAUUUAUCGGUCAGGGAUGAGCUCGCGGCCUAUCAGCUUGUUGGUGGGGUAAUGGCCUACCAAGGSGACGACGGGUAGCCGGCCUGAGAGGGCGACCGGCCACACUGGGACUGAGACACGGCCCAGACUCCUACGGGAGGCAGCAGUGGGGAAUAUUGGACAAUGGGCGCAAGCCUGAUCCAGCCAUGCCGCGUGAGUGAUGAAGGCCCUAGGGUUGUAAAGCUCUUUUGUGCGGGAAGAUAAUGACGGUACCGCRAGAAUAAGCCCCGGCUAACUUCGUGCCAGCMGCCGCGGKAAUAC
rnacentral:rRNA from 1 species